ensembl:lncRNA
GGCGCGUGGGGGGUGCCGGGAAAGCGAGGGGGGAGGGCGCUCGCGCCGCUUCCCUCAGCGCGUGUCCCGCUCUGCCGUCCGCUCCUCGCGCCGCAGGUAAAGGCUGUUGGUGCUGAAGUGUCUCUGGGGCGGCGGCGGAGGCCGCUGGUGCUGAGGCAGCGGUUGUGAAGGUGGCACGUUGGGACGCAGCUGGGAAGAGCUGCCAAUUGACAACGAACUCGGGGGAUUUACAGAAUAAAGGAUGGCACCGUGCUUAAAAGUGCCACGGGCUGGUUUUGUUGUCCUGGAAAUUCCCUCUGAAAAUGUUACGGUGCUCAGUAAAUCAAAUCCUGCCGGAUUCAUCUUUACUGCUUGGAGAGCAGGAGUUCCAAUGUGCAGCAGUCGGGCACAAUCCGAAGCGUGUGGAAUAGUGAGAUUUCGGGACAGCCUUUGCUCCUCGUGGCUGAGCUCCGUGUGCGUGGAGAUGUACACGUUGGGUCACAAAUAACACGCGUUGAGGUGGUGUACCCAGAUGGAGGUUUGUUGUGUAUUACUCCAAAUAUACAAAAAUAAAAUAACCAUUGAUCACAGAGGGAUGGCAGGAUAUGCCUCUAAAGAGCUCUGCUGAAAUAUCCACAUAUGUUCUGUAUCUGUAGUGAUGAAGAGAUGAAAGCAGAGUUGGCUCUCUGGAAAAAUGGUAAGGAUAACUGCUUUUUGUGAAAACUGGCCUAGGAAUGAACUGCAGUCACCUCCUCGGAUUCCUGCAAUGCACUCUGUUUUGUGCUGAGUGCCCUCUUGAGGUCCUCAGCAUACAAUGGCCUGGACGAGUCCCUGGUGCUCUGACUGCACCUGAGCUGUUCUUAGCCCUUCUAUUAAAGGCUUUUCCUCUUUCUCUCCCUCUCUUCCACUGUCUUUUUUUCCCUUUCUCUUUUCCUUCUUUCUUUCUGUUCUUUUGGGUUUUGUUUUGUUUUCCACCUGUGGGAGAGGUGUUCUAACCAACAUAGACUGGGAGAUCACAGUUAGGACAGCUGCUUCUGUAAAUCAUAAAUAUGGACAAUGAGUUACCCUGAAAAGUUAAAAUAAAUUCUGGAUGUAACCCAAAAACCCAGUCAGCCAAACCAAAUCUGUUCCACGUUCAGGAGCUUUGGUUAUCUUUGCUGAUGUAUAGCAAUGUGCCUCCUAUUUAGUUUUCUGAUUUUUUUUUCCUAGUUCUGGCUGGGACAAAAGCGAAAGUGCUAACAUGCCCUGUGAGUCUCUUCUUGCAAGACUUACCAGAGGUAUCAGGGGAGCCUAAUUUUCUUCCUUGUCCCAGCCAAGUUCUGUAGUCAGAGGAACUGUGGAUUGCUUCAGUAAGUGCAGUAACUUUUGGGUACAGUUUUCUUAUGAACUGUUUAGGAAUUGUUUGCCCACUUAUUUUGAAUCUCCUUAACUAUAAGAGUUAAACAAACAAACAAACCUGCGGUUAUCCUAACCAGCGUGCUAUCUACAUUCAAAAUAUGUUUUAAAUAUUCUAAAUUUAACAGACAAAACUCAAUACUGUGUUAUUAUUACGAGUAAUAAUUUGUUCUGACAUGAAGUAUUUUGCCUUUGAACAGCCAUUAGAAAUACAUUUUGUUUGGGGCCUAGGUGCACUUAUUUUGCUGCUAGUAUAGCAGGUGUUUUUCUUAACCAUUUUUUUAGGAGAAAUCCUAAGUUUAGAGGAAAUGAGCACUCGAUUAUUUAAAUUUCCUGAGAUUAGAGGAAGAACACUUUGCCAAACAAUGCCUCUUCACUUCAAAACCUCUCCCCAUAAAUUAUGCUAGGAGAUCUUAUUAAAAGUCUGUAAAAAUUUCCUAUUAAAAAUGGUUGAUUGCAGUCCAGACCAUCACAGCUUUUGUGCUUUCAGUGAAAUACCACAGCUGUCGCAAAGAAAUAUAUUGUGAGACAAAAGGUUUUGUUUCCUUAGUCAUAAAUUAUUUGUGUGAUAUCCGAAGUAAGAUAAAACUUUCACUUACGUUUGAGUGAAGGAAGAUGCCAGUGAUAAGUUGUUCAAAAAUCUAUAAAAAGAAUAUAAGAAUGUAGAUCUAGAUAGCAAAUUAGAAUCAGA